UACGGAGGGGACUAGCGUUGUCCGGAAUUAUUGGGCGUAAAGAGCUCGUAGGUGGCUUGUCGCGUCUGCCGUGAAAGCCCAUGGCUUAACUGUGGGUCUGCGGUGGAUACGGGCAGGCUGGAGGCUGGUAGGGGCAAGCGGAAUUCCUGGUGUAGCGGUGAAAUGCGCAGAUAUCAGGAGGAACACCGGUGGCGAAGGCGGCUUGCUGGGCCAGUUCUGACGCUGAGGAGCGAAAGCGUGGGGAGCGAACAGG
rnacentral:rRNA from 1 species